AGCGGCGGACGGGUGAGUAACGCGUGGGUAACCUGCCCUAUACACACGGAUAACAUACCGAAAGGUAUGCUAAUACGAGAUAAUAUAAGAGAUUCACAUGGAUUUCUUAUCAAAGCUGAGGCGGUAUAGGAUGGACCCGCGUCUGAUUAGCUAGUUGGUAAGGUAACGGCUUACCAAGGCAACGAUCAGUAGCCGACCUGAGAGGGUGAUCGGCCACAUUGGAACUGAGACACGGUCCAAACUCCUACGGGAGGCAGCAGUGGGGAAUAUUGCACAAUGGGCGAAAGCCUGAUGCAGCAACGCCGCGUGAGUGAUGAAGGCCUUCGGGUCGUAAAACUCUGUCCUCAAGGAAGAUAAUGACGGUACUUGAGGAGGAAGCCCCGGCUAACUACGUGCCAGCAGCCGCGGUAAUACGUAGGGGGCUAGCGUUAUCCGGAUUUACUGGGCGUAAAGGGUGCGUAGGUGGUCUCUUAAGUCAGGAGUGAAAGGCUACGGCUUAACCGUAGUAAGCUCUUGAAACUGGGAGACUUGAGUGCAGGAGAGGAAAGUGGAAUUCCUAGUGUAGCGGUGAAAUGCGUAGAUAUUAGGAGGAACACCAGUAGCGAAGGCGACUUUCUGGACUGUAACUGACACUGAGGCACGAAAGCGUGGGGAGCAAACAGGAUUAGAUACCCUGGUAGUCCACGCCGUAAACGAUGAGUACUAGGUGU
rnacentral:rRNA from 1 species